UACGUAGGGGGCGAGCGUUGUCCGGAGUUACUGGGCGUAAAGGGCGUGUAGGCGGUUGGAUAAGUCUGGCGUGAAAUUCUCUGGCUUAACCAGGGAGCUGCGCUGGAAACUGUCUGACUGGAGUUCGGUAGGGGUCACUGGAAUCCCCGGUGUAACGGUGAAAUGUGUAGAUAUCGGGGGGAACACCUGUGGCGAAGGCGGGUGACUGGGCCGCAACUGACGCUGAGACGCGAAAGCGUGGGGAGCAAACAGG
rnacentral:rRNA from 1 species